rnacentral:rRNA from 1 species
GACGAACGCUGGCGGCGUGCCUAAUACAUGCAAGUAGAACGCACAGUUUAUACCGUAGCUUGCUACACCAUAGACUGUGAGUUGCGAACGGGUGAGUAACGCGUAGGUAACCUGCCUGGUAGCGGGGGAUAACUAUUGGAAACGAUAGCUAAUACCGCAUAAUAUCGAUUAUUGCAUGAUAAUUGAUUGAAAGAUGCUAUUGCAUCACUACCAGAUGGACCUGCGUUGUAUUAGCUAGUAGGUGAGGUAACGGCUCACCUAGGCGACGAUACAUAGCCGACCUGAGAGGGUGAUCGGCCACACUGGGACUGAGACACGGCCCAGACUCCUACGGGAGGCAGCAGUAGGGAAUCUUCGGCAAUAGACGAAAGUCUGACCGAGCAACGCCGCGUGAGUGAAGAAGGUUUUCGGAUCGUAAAGCUCUGUUGUAAGAGAAGAACGGGUGUGAGAGUGGAAAGUUCACACUGUGACGGUAUCUUACCAGAAAGGGACGGCUAACUACGUG